ACGAACGCUGGCGGCGUGCUUAACACAUGCAAGUCGAACGGAAAGGCCCUGCUUUUGUGGGGUGCUCGAGUGGCGAACGGGCGAGUAACACGUGAGUAACCUGCCCUUGACUUUGGGAUAACUUCAGGCAACUGGGGCUAAUACCGGAUAGGAGCUCCUGCUGCAUGGUGGGGGUUGGAAAGUUUCGGCGGUUGGGGAUGGACUCGCGGCUUAUCAGCUUGUUGGUGGGGUAGUGGCUUACCAAGGCUUUGACGGGUAGCCGGCCUGAGAGGGUGACCGGCCACAUUGGGACUGAGAUACGGCCCAGACUCCUACGGGAGGCAGCAGUGGGGAAUAUUGCACAAUGGGCGGAAGCCUGAUGCAGCAACGCCGCGUGCGGGAUGACGGCCUUCGGGUUGUAAACCGCUUUCGCCUGUGACGAAGCGUGAGUGACGGUAAUGGGUAAAGAAGCACCGGCUAACUACGUG
rnacentral:rRNA from 1 species